GUCGAGGGCUUUGAACUAGAGCUAUUAUAGUGGAUUCAUUCCUGGAUUGGUAUCCCCCAGAGUAGGUGACGUUGCACUGAACUGGGUUAACAAUUACUUGUCUUAUUUAUUAUUCUGCAAUUUUUUAUUUAUUUACUGUGUUCUGCGACUGUCUUGCUGCAACGUGUGCUAUAGCAUCUUGUGCAGCAUUGUGUUCACUGCGUGCCAGAUUUCAC
rnacentral:lncRNA from 1 species